GUUCGCUCCCCACGCUUUCGCUCCUCAUCGUCAGUUACGGCCCAGAGAUCUGCCUUCGCCAUCGGUGUUCCUCCUGAUAUCUGCGCAUUCCACCGCUACACCAGGAAUUCCAAUCUCCCCUACCGCACUCUAGUCUGCCCGUACCCACUGCAAGCCCGAGGUUGAGCCUCGGGAUUUCACAGCAGACGCGACAAACCGCCUACGAGCUCUUUACGCCCAAUAAUUCCGGACAACGCUUGCACCCUACGUAUUACCGCGGCUGCUGGCACGUAGUUAGCCGGUGCUUUUUCUGCAGGUACCGUCACUUUCGCUUCUUCCCUACUAAAAGAGGUUUACAACCCGAAGGCCGUCAUCCCUCACGCGGCGUUGCUGCAUCAGGCUUUCGCCCAUUGUGCAAUAUUCCCCACUGCUGCCUCCCGUAGGAGUCUGGGCCGUGUCUCAGUCCCAGUGUGGCCGGUCACCCUCUCAGGCCGGCUACCCGUCGUCGCCUUGGUGAGCCAUUACCUCACCAACAAGCUGAUAGGCCGCGAGUCCAUCCCCAACCAAAAAAUCUUUCCACCACCAGACCAUGCGGCCAGUGAUCAUAUCCAGUAUUAGACGUCGUUUCCAACGCUUAUCCCAGAGUCAGGGGCAGGUUACUCACGUGUUACUCACCCGUUCGCCACUAAUCCACCCAGCAAGCUGGGCAUCAUCGUUCGACUUGCAUGUGUUAAGCACGCCGCCAGCGUUCGUCCUGAGCAGU
rnacentral:rRNA from 1 species